AAAAUUUGUAAACAAUGUCAAAAAUUAAAAUAUGUCAAUUUAAAAUAUUUUGUAUAUACCAAUUACUCAAUUAGUUGUUGCCUGUUGGUGUAGUAGUAACUGAGAUUUUACAUGUUAAGGAGAACUGCAUAUUCGAUCCCUCGCAACAACAAUUGGAAGCGAACUGAACAUAACAACCCAGCACUGAUCCCAAAUCCGAAUCAACCCAAAAGGUGAAUCGGGUGACACCACUUCGUAUAUCUAUACUUUGUACUUCAUACUAGUAUACUGCCUUACAAGGUAAAGGUAAGUUGAGGAUAGAGCUCGCCCCUCCUGAGGAGGGGUUUUAAUUCUUUCCUUUUUUCGUACCUUAAAAAAAAAUAAAAAAAUAAAAAAAUAAAAACAAAAACUCGAGGAUAGAGCUGGCCACAAGCUGAGCUAGUCAAAGUAGGUCCCGCUAAUUUCGGUUUGGAGUCAAAGAUUAAGGUCCCGCUAAUUUUGUUUUCGAGUCAAAACAGAAAAUUCAUUAAUUCCAAUUCCCCUUGUCUUCAAUUACUUCAAAUAACAAAGUCGAGCAAUAUCUCCGAAAAUUCGAGUGAAUAAUCAACCAUGGAAGAAGAGAGAGAGAUUAAUCCAUCCGAUAAACUGCUGCCGGAAUUAUGGAUGGAGAUCUUCUCAAAACUUCCAGCAAAAACUCUGCGAAAAUCAAGGUGUGUUUCCAAAUCAUGGCGCUCUUUAAUCGAUAACCCUAGUUUCAUUUCUAUGCAUAUCACCCAUUUCAAGAACAAUUCCAACAAACAUUUCGUUUUAUCCUAUGAAACCCAGAAUACAAUGUGGGUUUUAAAUCAAUUUGAAUUGAAGAUUAGGGUUCGAACAAUGGGUAAAUUUAGAAAACGUCAAGAAAUUUUGGGAACAACCUUUUUAUCAUCUGAGUAUCAUCUUGAUCAUAAGGGUUAUGUUGAUGGGUUGAUUUUAUUUGGUCAAUUAAUUGGCGAUAAAUAUGAUUUGUUCUUGUUUAAUCCUUCAAUUAGGAAGCGUAUGUUGUUACCCCAGAUACCCGUCCUGGUGGUCGUGCUGAUACUGUUAUUGGGUUUGAUCCUGUUAUUAAUGAUUAUAAGGUUGUUAUGAUUUUCUUCCCUUUCGUGUUGGCAGAGCUUGAGGGCUUGCUUCGAUUCUAGUUUACGAGCUUGGCACGGGCUGUUGGAGGGUUAAUGUUGGUGUUGAGGUUCCAAUUAUGUGGUAUUUUGGAGAUAAAGUGUUAGCUAGAGGUGUUAUGCAUUGGAUAUCAUUUAGUCUUGAUGAGCGUCCAUUGCGUACGAAUUAUACCCAUAUUGUUUCCUUUGAUUUUGGUAGUGAGACGUUUAGCUACACGGAGUUGCCUGGUGAUCGAUGGAGUGAUAAGGAUAAAUUCACUUGGCCUUUCCGUCUAGGUGAUCAAUUUGCUGUCUUGGAUGUUGCUCGUGCGAGUGUUUGCAUAUGGGUGUUGAAGAAGUGUGGGGGAAGUAGGAUGGAAGCGUGGAGUAAAUGGUAUCAUACUACAGAUUCAGGCACGUAUAAGUUUUUUCUGAAGCACAAAGCUGUAAAAAAUUUGAUAUAUAUCGAGAGUAUCCACAAGUUUCUUUUGGAGGUGAAUGGAGUAGUGAAAUCUUAUGACUUGGAGAGCCAUAAGAUGAAGAAUCUUGAGGUUACUGAUUGUCACUAUGUUAUGGAUCCUUACGUGGAGAGUUUACUGCUGUGCGAAGGAUUGAAUGAUCGGGUUUUCAACAAAAAUAAUGGAGUAGGGUGGUUUUGGCUGAGCAGCAGGGGAAAAAAUGGUAUGGCAUUAGACUGCUUGUUUAAUUGUUAUCUUCAAUCUUUUAGAAAAUAAAUUACUUUACAAAUUUGAAUUUACAGUGCUGUUGGCCUGUUGCAUCUUCUAUGCUAAUAUUGCAAUUGUGUUGGUAGCAUGAGUAGCAUAUAUAGCAAUUUUCCAUCAUUCGAUUGGGUAAUCAACAUCUUUUCCGUCAUUUUGUUGUGGCACUACAUUUGAAGCAGAAUUUUGUGGCUUGGUGCUACUGAUGGAAGGGGAUUAACAGCUUAUGAUUAGGUGCUGAUGGAGCUAAAAAUUGUUGCAAUCUGACCAUCUGUUUGAUGAUCAAAGCCUACUUGGUAGAAGUUUUUCACCUCCAAUCAACACCAGAUUUGAUUUUGGAAAUUUAAUCUGCAUCAGACUUCCUCUUAUAGUACUAUGAUCAUGGUAAAAUAAUUGAUGUUUUUAACUGCUUUUCAUCUUUCCUAAAUAAUUCAUUUUAUGAGCCAGACUCCUCUAGAUCCUGGUACUGUUCCUUUUGGUAUUCUGCAGCAAUUUAAGUGAUGAGCAUUAUUAUUACUA